GAUGAACGCUGGCGGCGUGCCUAAUACAUGCAAGUCGAGCGAACAGACGAGGAGCUUGCUCCUUUGACGUUAGCGGCGGACGGGUGAGUAACACGUGGGUAACCUACCUAUAAGACUGGGAUAACUUCGGGAAACCGGAGCUAAUACCGGAUAAUAUUUCGAACCGCAUGGUUCGUUAGUGAAAGAUGGCUUUGCUAUCACUUAUAGAUGGACCUGCGCCGUAUUAGCUAGUUGGUAAGGUAACGGCUUACCAAGGCAACGAUACGUAGCCGACCUGAGAGGGUGAUCGGCCACACGGGAACUGAGACACGGUCCAGACUCCUACGGGAGGCAGCAGUAGGGAAUCUUCCGCAAUGGGCGAAAGCCUGACGGAGCAACGCCGCGUGAGUGAUGAAGGUCUUCGGAUCGUAAAACUCUGUUAUUAGGGAAGAACAAACGUGUAAGUAACUGUGCACGUCUUGACGGUACCUAAUCAGAAAGCCACGGCUAACUACGUG
rnacentral:rRNA from 1 species